GACGAACGCUGGCGGCGUGCUUAACACAUGCAAGUCGAACGGAAAGGCCCCCUUGUGGGGUACUCGAGUGGCGAACGGGUGAGUAACACGUGAGUAACCUACCCUUGACUUUGGGAUAACGUCAUGAAACUGGGGCUAAUACCGGAUAGGAGCUCCUGCUGCAUGGUGGGGGGUGGAAAGUUUCGGCGGUUGGGGGUGGACUCGGGGCUUAUCAGCUUGUUGGUGGGGUAGUGGCUCACCAAGGCGAUGACGGGUAGCCGGCCUGAGAGGGUGACCGGCUCCAUUGGGCCUGGGCUACGGCCCAGCCUCCUCCGGGAGGCAGCAGUGGGGAAUAUUGCACAAUGGGCGGAACCCUGAUCCAGCAACGCCGCGUGCCGGAUGACGGCCUUCGGGUUGUAUACCGCUUUCGCCUGUGACGAAGCGUGAGUGACGGUAAUGGGUAAAGAAGCACCGGCUAACUACGUG
rnacentral:rRNA from 1 species